GAAACGGUGAGUAAUACCUUAUACGCCCUUCGGGGGAAAGAUUUAUCGGAGAUGGAUUGGCCCGCGUUAGAUUAGAUAGUUGGUGGGGUAACGGCCUACCAAGUCUACGAUCUAUAGCUGGUUUUAGAGGAUGAUCAGCAACACUGGGACUGAGACACGGCCCAGACUCCUACGGGAGGCAGCAGUGGGGAAUCUUAGACAAUGGGCGAAAGCCUGAUCUAGCGAUGCCGCGUGAGUGAUGAAGGCCUUAGGGUCGUAAAGCUCUUUCGCCAGGGAUGAUAAUGACAGUACCUGGUAAAGAAACCCCGGCUAACUCCGUGCCAGCAGCCGCGGUAAUACGGAGGGGGUUAGCGUUGUUCGGAAUUACUGGGCGUAAAGCGUACGUAGGCGGAUCAGAAAGUAUGGGGUGAAAUCCCAGGGCUCAACCCUGGAACUGCCUCAUAAACUCCUGGUCUUGAGUUCGAGAGAGGUGAGUGGAAUUCCGAGUGUAGAGGUGAAAUUCGUAGAUAUUCGGAGGAACACCAGUGGCGAAGGCGGCUCACUGGCUCGAUACUGACGCUGAGGUACGAAAGUGUGGGGAGCAAACAGGAUUAGAUACCCUG
rnacentral:rRNA from 1 species